GACGGAGGGGGCAAGCGUUGUCCGGAAUUACUGGGCGUAAAGCGCGCGUAGGUGGCCUGUUGCGUCGGUGCUGAAAGCGCCGGGCUUAACCCGGCGAGGUGUGCCGAUACGAGCAGGCUCGAGGCAGGGAGAGGGUGGCGGAAUUCCGGGUGUAGUGGUGAAAUGCGUAGAGAUCCGGAGGAACGCCAGUGGUGAAGACGGCCACCUGGCCCUGUCCUGACACUGAGGCGCGAUAGCGUGGGGAGCGAACCGG
rnacentral:rRNA from 2 species